rnacentral:siRNA from 1 species
UGGUUGAGUGCGGAUUUGAGUA